rnacentral:rRNA from 1 species
GAUGAACGCUGGCGGCGUGCCUAAUACAUGCAAGUCGAGCGAACGGACGAGAAGCUUGCUUCUCUGAUGUUAGCGGCGGACGGGUGAGUAACACGUGGAUAACCUACCUAUAAGACUGGGAUAACUUCGGGAAACCGGAGCUAAUACCGGAUGAUAUUUUGAACCGCAUGGUUCAAAAGAGAAAGACGGUCUUGCUGUCACUUAUAGAUGGAUCCGCGCUGCAUUAGCUAGUUGGUAAGGUAACGGCUUACCAAGGCAACGAUGCAUAGCCGACCUGAGAGGGUGAUCGGCCACACUGGAACUGAGACACGGUCCAGACUCCUACGGGAGGCAGCAGUAGGGAAUCUUCCGCAAUGGGCGAAAGCCUGACGGAGCAACGCCGCGUGAGUGAUGAAGGUCUUCGGAUCGUAAAACUCUGUUAUUAGGGAAGAACAUAUGUGUAAGUAACUGUGCACAUCUUGACGGUACCUAAUCAGAAAGCCACGGCUAACUACGUG